rnacentral:lncRNA from 1 species
UGGUCAUCUCAGGUUGGCUUACAGGUAGGAGCUUAAACUCUCCCAAAAUUACACAUGGGGCACGUUGGAGUCCAGUUAGGCAAGGGAUUCUUUUUUCCUUAGCAUCGUAUUUCAGCACAUGGCACCAUAAAUAUCUUUGAAUGAGUGAAUCCAUAUUUUCUUUCCCCACUGGGGGAUUCCACCUUAAUGAAAGAACUGUAUUCAGCUCAAAUCCGCUCAGGAAAGUACUGUUUUCACCCAAAGAAACAGGAUAUGUGUCCCCUGUCACACAAUAGGAGACCGCUUAUACCGAAAAACACACAUACAGCGGCUCUGCAAAUGGAAUAGUCAAAAUGAGAGAGAGGGAGGGAAAGCAGCCUGGCUUGUCACCAAGGAGGGAAGCCAUUUGUGGGCCAGUAGUUCUUGAUGGAAAAGCACUGGCAUGGUCUCUGUCAUGAAAAUGAAAAUACUCUUUGAACAUGUGCGGAAACAGACCCUGAGGGGAAGGGUUCUGGUCCAAGAAAACAUGGCAGACUGAACUGGAAUGGAAAGAGCAUGAGACGGAGAAAAGUGGACCAGGAGAUUUGAACAAUGGAGGAAGCCCCCAACCCAGGAGCCCAUGGAAUCCCAGUGGCUAAGGACUUUUAUCAGUUCCUUUGCAAAGAGAAAUUGGAAAUCAAUACCCUUCUUCGCAGGAUUGGAGCUAUGUAGUAACCAGUGCUCAUCCUGCCCUUUGAUGUGUUGUCGCGGAGUCCUGGGUUAAACAGUACCCACAACUACUGCUAUAAAUAGCCAUUUGCUCCAGGUGGACAGAGGAGACAGGUGCUCCACGCUGGCACACCAGCUCACCCUCUUCCCUUCACUGGUUUGAUAACAUUUGCUUUUCUGUACGAGUGCUCUUUGUGGUACAUCUGCACACGCUGUUCUCCACCUUGAAUGUUCUGGGUCCUGCGUUUCUGCUCACUAUUGCAUUUCCUUUUAGAGACACCAUAAACAUCACCUUUUCUUAAAGUCUUUCUUAACUUUCCCAAAGUGCGAUUUUGUCAUUACUUCCUCUGUCCCAUAGCCUUUGUGCACACCUCUGUUAUAACAUAAAGUCACUUAUUUACUUUCUUUGUUCUUCAGGUAAACAGUGAACUAUGGCAGGCAUAAAUUGCAUCUAAUUCUCGCAUCCCCCCCCCGACUCCCAGAAAUCGCCAGUGUGUGGUAGGCGUUCUAUAAAUGUUGGCAGACAUGGGUCUCAUCGCCAGCACAGGCAGGCAUGCCUCACCAGUUUUGGGGGGAAGGGAGAGUUGACUUGCCGAGGACAACUUGUGCCCUUUGGACAUGAGUAAUGGGUAUUGGACUGCAAGUGGUUGGUAGCUGCUGUUUUGUACAGGAGAGAUUACUCUGCUAAAAUAAUCCAGUGUGAUUAGGAGAAAGACAAAGCUCUCGGUUUUCUGAUGAAUCAACAACAGUUAAGCCGUCCCCAGUGACCUAGUUGCCAAACGGUUUGUGUAAGCCAAUAAUAUUGUAACACUGACUUUUAAAAUUUUUGAUCAUUAAAUUUUUGAAUUUUCACUUAUAGACGAACUUUUGCCUGGAAUACGGGCCCAACUAAAAGUAAAUUAAAAUUCUGCCCUUAGAAAGGUAUUCAGUAUAGUCAUUUUGAAGACAUUGCAAAUAGCACGCUGCACAUUGAUCUAAGCAUGUAAGUUCCCUCCCUUCCUUCUUUGCUUCCUCUGUCUUCCUCAAAUAUUUAUCAAGCAUUUAUAUUCUGGCAGGUCCUGUUUUAGACAUGGGGAUACAAAGCGAAGAAACCACAGCUCCCAGCUUGCCCCUCCUCCCCCAGUUGCUUUCUUUCCAGGGCUUUUCCCUUGAAAAAAAAAAGGGAAAAGACAGAGAGGGUAUUUGAAAUAUGUAAAAAUGAAUAGAUAGUAAGAGUUGGCAGCUGGUGAUUAGCUUGUGUCAGUUGAGACAGAAAGCACUUAGGAAGGUAAAUGUUUCCAUCUGAUAGUAAAGUUUAUUAUUUAAUUGCCAUCAAUUCAGAGUGUAUUAAUUGCUCUGACCAUACUCAUAAUGAAUCAAAGGAAUAUGAGAUUUUGGCCCCUGCCCUUGAGAAUUUCAUCAUUAGACCUCUAUCUUCUUGGGAAUUUAAGUUCUUUGCCAACACGAUGAAAGAUAGCAUUAUUAUGGUCUGAAGGAAGGCUGGGAGAAAGGCUCUAAGGCUCUGAUUUGCUAGUCUAGACCAGUAACUCCCAAAGUGUGAUGCCCAGACCAGCUUUUUUAUCGUCACUAGGGAACUUGUUAAGAAGGUAGAUUUUAAGGCCUUAAUUCAGGGCUACUGAAUCCGAACCCCUGGGUGGAUUCUGAUGCAUGCCCAAGUGUGACUGAGAACUGUAGCUCCUGUAGACACCCUUGAUAUUUGCAGUAUGGUCUUGGACUAGCAGCAGCUGCAUCCCACGGGAGCUUGUUAGAAAUGCAGUCUCAGGCCCCACUCCAAAGCUACAGAACCAGUAUUCCCAGGUGAUUCACGUGCAUGAUACAUUUUGUGAAGCACUAAUUCAGACUGGGCUGUGUCAUGAAGAAUCUUGAGCCAGGGUUGUGACUCCUCCCACCUCCCUCAUCAGAGCACUGAGGCAUGCUUUAAAGGCUGCUCCAAGCCACCUCCUCUGUGCUGGUGUGAUGCUGUCAUGAAUAGGCAUUUUGCAAGCUCAGAGAACACCGAGGUUUCUUGCAGAGCAGGCUCUUCUCUUGUCUCUGAAGGCUGGGGGUGGUAUUAUUUAAAACAUAAUCAGUUUGCCAGCAGGUAAUAGAUUGCUAUUAAAAUUGUUUAAGUGUCAGGGAACUCCCCGCUUCUAAAGUUAUGAUUAACUUUUCUAUCUGACGGAAGGGUAAUAAAAAUUUCCGACAUCAGUGAGUCAAACAAAUUUCUAAAACAAUACAUAAUGGGAGAAAUUUGGGAUUUCUCAGCCUAGUGUUACCUCGCCAUCAGGAAAUGUGGGCACAGACAAAUUGAUUAAUAAAAACUUUAUUUCUUCCCCCAUUGGGUUAGGAAAUAGCUGCCCCCCCCCCACCAUCCUAGCUGCCUAGCUCUUCUUUGAGCUCUCCCUAGAGCUCAUGACUCAGCAUCAGCAAUCAGAAUGCUCCUAUCUGGCACAUCAGGAGCCCCCAUUUUAACUAAUGUGGUUUGUAUCUCUUUUGAUUGGCUAGUCACUUAUUAGAUAUGAUCAGUCCUCACCGAGCACAGAUUUUUACAUUUGUGAAUAUGCUUAGUUCAUAAAAUAUACCUGUAAUCCUCAAAUCAAUACCUGUGGUGCUCUCCUGGUCAUUCAAGGGCAUGUGCAGAGUAGAGAAAAAUUUGAGUCAUUCAAUAUAACAUGGUCACAGGUUCUGAGUUUAACCAGCAAGCGCUACUUAAUAUUCAUGAAAUAAUUCCUGCCUGACACAAACUCUUUCAGGCAGGCAGAGAAUCAUGUCAUGAGUUGAGCAUAACCUUGAUGUCCAAUUUGAUAAAGUGUGAAUAACAACCUCACAGAAUGAUGCCAGCCAUUACUAUAGAAGCAAAAUGUUAGACAAGCAAAUCCAGUUAUGCGUUUAGAAUAUAACAGGAAAAAAAUGGAUUUUUCCUAGAAACAUAAGAGUGACCUCACAUUAGAAAAGGUUUUAGUGUAAUUAUCCACCUUAAUAAACUUAGGUCAUUGUAUCUGUAGAUACAAAAGAAAUUUUGAUGACCUUCAAUAAUAUUCAUAAUUUUAAAAAAGAAGAAAAGCUCCUAACAUAUGAAGACUAGAAAGGAAUUUCUUUAGCCUAGUGCAGAGUACUUCCUCCAACUCCCCCAAUGUUGAAAAUGUGACCUGAGGCUUGCAGCCUGGAGAACCUAAUUACUGUAAUAGCAAGAAUUGACGAUUUAGAAUUUGCUCCAGGGAUAUGGUUUAUAAAUAUUUUAAUCGAAUUAUUUACUCUUGGAAGCUUCUCUGAAAAUGUAGAGUGCAUUACCCAGCAUUCCUUUGGAUGGUACUUACUGGGUAAGAAUGGAGGAUAGAAUCGUCAAGUGCUGUAGAGAUACAUUUACGGUGCCUGUGUCUUCACUUUUGCAUCGCCAAGGCAGCAUUUAUUAAGUGUUUCCUGCAUACGUUGGAUGGAUUGUGCAUCUUUGUCUCAUGGAUAUCUUCACCAUGAGCCAGAGAUGAAGCUGUGGGGAGGGACUGGGAUCUAGUUAGGGCCCUGGCUGACAGUCUUGGAAAAUCCAGAAAUUCUUUUGAUGUCAAAUGCUAGAAGUCAAGGAUGAUAAAGAGGACACAGUCCCUGCCUUUAAGAGCACAGAGACGUGAGCAAGACAGACAUAUAAACAAUAAUUCCCACUCUAUAAUCACAGCUAUAUUUGAACUCUCAUAGGAGGAGCUGGGGGACUUUGUGGAGAGGAAAUGCCUGGCUUUUCCAGGAGGGGUCAUGGUGGAGAUAGGAACCGAGUUGACAUAGAGAAAGGAGUUUUUGUUGUUGUUGUUUAGAGUUUUUAGUUAUUCGUAGUAGUUGGGUUCAUCCUGACAAACUCCUACAUGCAUGGAGAUAGAUUUCAGUUCAUGAUUCCUCCCUUUUCCCUUCCAUCCUCCCUCUCCUCUCCCAUUCUCCUUCCUCUACUCUACUAGACUUUCUUUUGCUCAUGUACUAAAUUUAUAUUUGGUUCAUUAUGUUAUCCUAUCCUUCCCUUUCCCUUCCCUUUAUUUUACUCUAACUUCCACACAUGAGAGAAAACACUUGACCUUUGAGUUUCUGAGUUUGGCUUCUUUCACUUAGCAUGAUAUUCUUCCAUAUCUACCCAUUUUCCAGCAAAUGCCAUCAUUUCAUUCUUCUUUAUGGCUGAGUAGAACUCCAUUGUAUGUAUAUAUAUAAUGUACCACAAUUUCUCAAUACAUUUGUCUAUUGAUGUGCAUCUGGUUUGAUUCCAUAAUUUAGCUUUUGUGAAUUAUGCUGCUAAAAACAAUGAGGUGUUUGUGUCUGUGUAGUAUGCUGAUUUUAGAGCAUUUGGGAAAAUAUCAAGGAGUCGGAGGACAGCUGGGUCAUUUGGUGGUUCCAUGCCUAGUUUUUUUUUUUUGAGUCCCAGAGUGGUUGUACUAAUUAGUCUACAAUCCCACCAACAAUGUACAAGUGUACAUUUUCCCUCACAACCUCACUAGCAUUUAUCGUUGUUCAUAUUCUUGAUCAUUGCCAUUCUGACUGGGGUGAGAUGAAAUCUUGUAGUUUUGGUUUGCAUGGAAAAGGAGUCUUUUAGGUAGCUCUUUAGGCAAGAGUGUGAGGUUAACGUCUGAGCUGAGUGACAGAAUUCCCGGUAGAGGGAGGAAUUAGCAGAAACAUUCAGGUGUACCCAACAUGUGUGUGUAGUGCUUGGGUGGUGUGGUGGGUGGUUUGCAUGUUAUGUGUUUGUGCAUUAUGGUGUGUGUAUGUGGUGUGUAAUUUGUGUGCUGAGUGUGUAUGUGAUGUGACAUCUAUGUACUAUGGCAUGUGAUUUUGUGUGUGUGUGUGUGUGUGUGUUGGAUGCCUGUAAGGUGGUUGGGCAGGUAUGAAGGGGGAAAAUGUUGCAGAUUAGGGAGAGGAUGGUGCACUUCACCUUGUAGACUAUCAUGGAGUGAGUUUAGGAAAGUUACUCUAACAGCAGAGAGAAGGGUGAAUGGGUAGGGAGAUCUUUUGGGAACAUUAAUGCUAGUGAUAACUCAGCUUCAUCUGACUUUACAGAAAAGUCUGUGUGCCCUGGGAUCUCAACAGGCAAACCAAUAUCUAUAGUCUGGUUCCCUAAAUUCAACCUUUUUAGACUUGGCUAGGCUCAUGCAUCUCCUUGCUGAAAUGAAAAUGAUGAUUCCAAGGUCUAGGGGGUGUCUAGUCUCUAUAGUUCAAAAACAUUCCUGGGAUGCCGAUGCCCUGGUCCACAGGCACAAUUUGAGGAGCAAGUCUCCAACUUAUCUGCAUACUAACAGCCUGUUUUUUUUUUUUUUUUUUAAAAAAAGAAUCAUGUGCUACACUAGAGAUUCUGGUGUCAUAUGCGCAGCUAUCGGGUGUGACCUGGGCAUUGGAAAUUUAAAAAGUGUCCCAGAUGAAGGAACAGAUUUUUUUUUUUUUUUUAAACAUUCAAAAUUUCUUGAUACUUUAAAAAAACAUAUAAAAAUACAUUAGUAGAAAAAUAAACUUGAGGGAAAUAAAUACUUGCAACUAUAAGCCCUAAUUUAAAAAUAUUAUUAGAUUCAACAAACACGAAAUGUCUCGUGUCAGGUUACUGUAUGGGUUCUGUUUGCUUACUCUUCUUUUCUGGACUAUUCUUUUUGGUGAUCAGUAACCUACAGCAGACCUGUGGAUCCAGCCCAUGGAUCACAAGCCAAGCAGCACCAGAGGACACUCACAUUGAAGACCACCCGAGGUGUAAGGUGGACAGGGUGGGGGCUUCAGUGUCCAGCGAGAGAAGAAGCAAGUGCCUCACCCUGGGCUGGCUACCAGUGGCUGGAGCUGACUGAUGGAAUGAGAUUUCCUGUCCAUGUGCUUCCAGAUGCCAUGGUACCUGGGGAGAUCCAGGGGAUGCCAACGGAUUGCUGGUGGUGGUGAUGGCUUUGCCUGGCCGAAUCAUUGUGGAAGAGCAAGAAGGGAAACUGCCUGGCCUCAUGGAUCUUUUCCUGUAAAUCUUCUCUUUCUGCCUUCCAGGCUUAUCGUAAUAUAGGUACUGGCUUUAAAUUACCCCCUUGAGAACGGCGCCAGGUGCCUCUCCCACGCUAUAUUUUGCAACAAGCCUUGUUAUUUCAUACAUGUUAUUUUCUUUUCCAUGCCUUAAAAUGCUACCUAAAACCCCCACACGAUGUUGCAUAGAAGUAGUGAAAGUAAUUGAAUGUCUUUGAAUUGUUUCUGAUUUUAAGUUGAGAUGGUCAAAUAGUGAUCAUAUAGGUUUAAUAAGAUGAAGAAUUACACUAAAAAAUUCUCUAAUAUCAAACCAUUAAUAAUGCUGGGAAAAACAGUUUGUUCCUGUUUUAUUUUAUGUACAGUACUGAAUUUUCUUUUCUAACUUUUUAAUUAGCAGGGUUUGUUUUUUUUUCCUUAGCAGAUUGGCUUCUGUAGUAAUGAGUGCAAUUGUCCUGGGAUUUUUCUGACGUGUAUUUGAUCCGAUUGGACCUCAAAGUUAUGCUAAAUGAUUCAGUUAACCUGAAAGUUUGAGUGAGACUGAAAUUAUUUGUUUCAUGAAUAUUUGAUAGAGCUUGCUGGUUAAACCCUUGAAGUCUGAGGUUUUGAUUGUUGGGAGAUUUUUAACUUCAUUAGUUAAUUCAAAUUUCCAUAAUGAUGGUAGUGUUUACUGACAUCAGGAAGGUAAAUGCUUCCACUGCGGCCCAAUAUCAAGCUACCCACAGUUUCACAAUAGCUCACACAAUUCCUUUCUGUUUAGUGAUUGAUUCUUGGAUCCACUCUAGUCUGAGAUAGCUUCAGGGCAAGAAUUUAGAGCUUCUAUGUCUGCCGUGAUUUUGUUUUUUAAUGGAAAUAAGUGUUACUUUUUUCCCCCUUGAAAUUUGUCCAUUUCUUCUUUUCUAAUUUAUUGUUAUAAAAUUGUUCAUAUUAUACUUUCAAGUCCAUAAAUGUCUUUUUCAUUCUAAGCAUUAUGUGGGGGGCGCUGUUUAUUUUCUUGAUCCAUUAUUCUAAUGGUUUGGCAACUUCUGUUUUUGUUGGACCUCUCUCUCUGUCUUUUACACUGUAUUGACAUUUACUCAUCUUUAUUUUUUCUUCCAUCUCUACUUUCCCUGGGUUUAUGCUAUGCCUUCUAACUUAAGCUGGGUGCUUUGUCAGCCAGGAUUUUGGCAAGAAAUAGCAUAUUCAAAGGCUGAAGAUAAUUUAGUAAAAGGAUAUUUACAUAGAUGCCUGGGCUAAAGAGACCCCCCAAAGAGAAAUUGCCUGGAAGUAGCAACAGUAGAAAGCCAUCACCAUACCUACCUUGGGAGGGGGAAAUGGAUCCUUUUCAGACCCCUGAUAAGAAUGGUGGCUGCUCCAGCAAACCCAUCACCUUAGGCAAAGUCUCUAACCAAACCAUGGCUCGGUAAGCAGGGAACAGUGGAUAGAAUUCUUGUCUCUUCCAAACCUCCAUUGAGUGUCAGUGUUGCUCAUAGAGUAAACCCAACUAAAAGUCAACCGGCAGGUAACUGGGAGAAUGCAGCCCUCACACGUCAGUCUUUUAGGGUCACAGAACAAGAGAGAAAAGGGCAACCAAUGGAUCUAGUGGGGCAAAAUGAAAGGAAUGUCAGAGGGAUGUGGCUCAUUUAUUUUCAUCUCCUCACCCCAGUUUGUGAGUUUAGGGCUAUAUGCUUUCCUCUAAGUACCACUUUGGCUGCAUCUCAAAAAUUGUAAAAUGUGAUGGUAAUUUAUUAUCGUUGCUAAAUGUUUUGUAAACUCUUAAGAUUUCUUCUACAACCUUGUGAAUUAUUUAGAUGUAUGUCUAUUUCAAACCCAAGGGCUUUGUGUCUCUCUUUUUGGGAUGGUUUUUUAACUUCAUCACUCUGUGACCUGAAUUGGUCUGUUUGACACUAGUUCUUGGAAAUGUUUUGAGACCCGAUUUCUGUUCUAGUAUGUAAUGUUCUCUAUGUGGCUGAAAUGAUUGUUUUGUAGUGUUUGGUUGCAGUAUUCUGAAUAUAUCUACUAAUUUCCAUUAAAUUACCUACUUGUUUAUUC